UGAUCUAUGGCAAGGAAACAUAUGUGGGGUGAGGUGUAUGAGCCUCUGGUCGACGAUCAAUGGCCACACAACCCCCAUUUUUUAUGAAAAUAGCCAUGAGCGACCUUGAAAAUAGCCAUGAGCGACCUUGAAAAUAGCCAUGAACGACCAUUUUCAAUAAUACCGAAGGCUAACACGUACGAGUUUUUAACCAAGAAAUGGUUUCCACCAGAAAUCCAAGAAUGUAAUCUAUGGCAAGGAAACAUAUGUGGGGUGAGGUUUAUGAGCCUCUAGUCGAUGAUAAAUGGCCACACAACCCCCAUUUUUAUGAAAUAGCCAUGAGCGACCUUGAAAAUAGCCAUGAGCGACCAUUUUCAAUAAUACUAGAGGCUAACACCUACGGAUUUUAGACCAAGAAAUGGUCUCCACCAGAAAUCCAAGAAUGUGAUCUAUGGCAAGGAAACAUAUGUGUAGUGAGGUGUAUGAGCCUCUAGUCGAUGAUCAAUGGC
rnacentral:lncRNA from 1 species